GAAAUAGUCAUGACGUGUUUCCUGUUAGGGACGAAGGUCAAAUUCCAAACGUUCACACGACUGUUCACAGUUCUGGAAGCGAGAAUUCCAAGAGCCUUGUGUUGGCGAGGUUCCCAGAAGUAUAGCACUCUGGACCCCGAUGGCCACCUUUAUUCACACAAAGAAAGGGUUUUUCCAUUUGGAGGUCAACAUGUUGAAGCACCUGCUGGAGUUCCAUUGUGGCUCAGUGGGAAUGAAUCUGACUAGUAUCCAUGAGGAUGCAGGUUCAAUUCCUGGCCUUUCUCAGUGGGUUAAGGAUCUGAUAUUGCCGUGAUCUGUGGUGUAGGUUGAAGACGUGGCUCCAUCUGGUGUGGCUGUGGCAUAGGCUGGCAGCUACGUUUCCGACUCGCCCCCUCUAGCCUGGGAACCACCAUAUGCGGCAGGUGCGGCCCUAAAAAGACAAAACAAAAUAAAACAAACAAAAAAACAAAAAGCA
rnacentral:lncRNA from 1 species